AGGCCUCAAGUGAUCCUCCCUCCUGGACCUCCCAAAGCUCUGGGAUUAUAGGUGUGAGCCACUAUGCCUGGCUUCUAUGUGCAUUUUGUGUUCAGUGUAUACUUAUGAGUACAUAAAUUAUCUUGGCUAGUUGUCAUUUCUGUUGGCUGUCUCCAGCCACCCCCGAAGCCUUUCAUCUCCAGCUCCCAGAGCUGGGGACUUGUCUUGUUCACUGCCAGAGUCCCAAUGCCGAGAGCUCACGUGGCAUGCAGCAGGCACUGGCUAUGGGUGGAGGUCUCCAGCUCUGCUCCAGCUCCUGUCCCACAUGGUGAGUAGCCUUCAGAAAAGGAAGUCCCAGAAAAGUGGAGGCUGGGGCUUUGUUCGGCCUUUCCCUGCCCCUAGGCUUGUGUUCAGCCCGUGGCCGUGUGCCCCUUCCCGGCUUUGCCCCUGAUUUGCUCAGUGUGGGUGAGCCAUAGCCGGUUUGGUGCUGAGUGGGCAGGGCGGGGCCCACAUGUCUGUGAGACACAGGCCAUAGUUCAGAUUGAUGGCAUCGAGUCUUCAUGACUUCAGCUGCACUUAGUUAAACAUGGACCAGCCCACUGGAACCUUGUGGGCAGUAGUCUGAUUUCUGCUCUCAUUUCUGCUCUCUUCCAAGCUUCAAUUAAGGGAGCAACAAAAGAUCUCUAUCAUGAGCCAUGUGUGAUGAUCUCAUCUGCUAAGACAAAUAUUUUUUUUCUGGUUAUAUUUAUAGAACACUCUCUUGUUUCCUUGAACAACCCUAGCUGGCAUUAUCUUGUUUACCUUCUCUUCAUCUAGAUUUGCAUUUGUAGGGGGGCAGCUUUUAUCUGCUGCUCGUAGCUGUGUGGGAUUUCCAGUUCCUCUGUUUUUCUUCUUUUAGCUUUCAUCUGUGAGCUCUUUUAAAAUCAAGCAGUUAACUUACAGUUACAAGGCAGUAAUUAAUAUUAUAAGAAAACAGACAACACUGGCUCCAGCUAAGCACACCGCGGUAAUUUUUCUUAGGAGUGUCUUGCGGCCUUGCAGGGGAGGAUGGAACUUGGUAUUCCUUUCCCCUUUCUGCCAGUCAUGUGCUUCCUGAUGCCAGGCCUCCCUCCAGCCCUGCCAUCCCAGGGAAACUAGUCCAGACCGUCCCCACAGAUCUCCGGACUGACACCUGACUACCUUUGGGGGCAUCUGACCCUGCCUACGGUCCCACAGUGACUCACACUGAAACUAAGAUGCACAGUUGGAGUAGGAACCUGCUGGCCCAGCAAGAGAAUCUCUUCUUCGGGGGCCCAUUGAGCUAGGCUGUGUCAGAAAAAGAUUGCUGACCACAAUCCUCAAAAUCAAUUUCAUGACUCAUUAAUGGGUUGUGAUUCCGAGUUUGUAAAUGACUGGUCUGUUUGGACACUGAAGUUACUCAGGACGAUGGCAAGACUUGGAGUGGAGUGGUGCCAAAGUCUUUAAUGAAUAUGGAGGAGCAAAGACACAGCUCCAUGCAUCUUUCCUCGUGAAUGGCCUGUGAUUUCAGCACAGUCUAUUAGGUAAAGGUCCAGACUAUCAGUUUACUUCUGGUGUAAACAGGAUAAUUCACGGAUUUGCUGUUUUUUCCCCAGUGGUCUCCAGCCGGCAUGGGUCUUUAAUUUAUUCACUGCCAGUGACCAUUCCCCUCCCUUUUUUCUCUCCUAGGGAAGAACUAAGUAAACUGCCCUUCUUCACAUACCCCAGCCCCACAGUCUGAUCUGGCAAAGGGGCAGGGAUGCGGGAACCUCAGCAGCAGGUGACUGUGGCCUCCAGACUCUGCCAUGCUUCCAAAAGCUCCAGCCAUCUCACGGUUGCAAGAAUCUCCCAGAGGGAGAGGCCAUGUCCAAAGCGACGAGACAGAGUUUCACCUUGUUGCCCAGGUUGGAGUGC